AAGGAUUUAGGUUAAAUAAACCUUUAACCUUCAAAGUUAAAAAUAGGGGAAUUCUCUAAGCCUUA
rnacentral:tRNA from 1 species